rnacentral:lncRNA from 1 species
UGGAAUCGGGCGCGAAAGACAAAACUUUCUUGAGCACAAGGUCACCUUCUCGGAACACGCGGGGCUUGACCUUCUUAUCGAAUGCUUUCUUCAUUCUCUGCUGAUAUAACUGACCAUGACACAUGGCAGUUAAUCGCUUCUCUUCAAUUAAAUUCAACUGGUCAUAACGACUCUGAAUCCAUUCAGCAUCAGUCAACUAGGGACUUGAGGGUAUACUUUCUUUUUUCUUUUGGAAAAAUUUUGAAAAAAAUUUCCUGGUUUUUGAUUUUUUCUUCUUUUUCAACCCUCUUUCUUCCUCUUUUUUUUUAUUAUUUUUUUUAUUUUUUAUUUUUAUUUUUUAUUAUUGCAUUUGCAAUGCCCCAGUUUGACUGUUGCUGGGUUCUUCAGACGCAGUUGAAUGAUUUGUUUUUCAUUGCUCAAGCGCUCGGGUAAUCUCGUCAGGAAUCCCCUUCAACAUCAUCUUCCUCUGCCUCAGAUACAAGGACUUCAAGAUUGGGAGAUGGCGUUGGAUCAUUAUGUUCAAUGGGUUUAGAAAUCCCUGCAUAAUGAUUCUGGAUAAUGAAAAGCUUUUGAAUUUAAACAAG